rnacentral:tRNA from 1 species
AGAUGAAAAGCGAAAAUCUUGCAUUCAGUUUCGACCUGAACAUUGGCUUACCCCUUCAUCUU